CAAACGACUCUCGGCAACGGAUAUCUUGGCUCACGCAUCGAUGAAGAACGUAGCAAAAUGCGAUACUUGGUGUGAAUUGCAGAAUCCCGUGAACCAUCGAGUUUUUGAACGCAAGUUGCGCCCAAAGCCUUUUGGCCGAGGGCACGUCUGCCUGGGCGUCACAC
rnacentral:rRNA from 2 species